UACGUAGGGGGCAAGCGUUGUCCGGAUUUAUUGGGCGUAAAGCGCGUGUAGGCGGCUGGGUAGGUCCGCUGUGAAAACUUGAGGCUCAACCUCAAGAGGUCGGUGGAAACCAUCUAGCUAGAGUCCGGAAGAGGAGACUGGAAUUCCUGGUGUAGCGGUGAAAUGCGCAGAUAUCAGGAAGAACACCCGUGGCGAAGGCGGGUCUCUGGGACGGUACUGACGCUGAGACGCGAAAGCGUGGGGAGCGAACAGG
rnacentral:rRNA from 1 species